UCUAAUCCCAGUUGAAUUGUGAGCGUGUGUGUGUUCCAGUUUUGCGGGUGGGUUUUUUUUUCACACCCAGAGACUGGGCCCGCCGCUCUCCCGUGCUGGGUGCGGCCGUUCCUGCCCCGCCGCUGCGGCCCUCGGGUUCCCCGCGCGCUCCCGGAGCGGUUGGGCAGCGGCCGCGGCCCGUGCUGCCUCCGACUGCAAAUCCCGGGGCUGGUACUUCUUGCCCUGGUUGCCCUUCCCAAGCUUUUCUGUUGAGUCUGGUUGAUGACGGUGAGAACACGGGCGAUGGCUCUUGGAGAGUCUGGACCCCACGUCCUGGUCACUUUCGCUCCGUGAAGCUGGGACAACUCCACCUUCAGAUCGGUCAGCUGUAUCGGCCGCUCUUCCUUAUUGCUGUCAAGGUCAGGAGUCUUAAUCGUGGCGGUGGCGGCACCAGCACCCCCACCCCAGGACAUGGGCGGAUCUGACCGGCAACUCCUCUGUCUCUGCUUCCUUGGGUUGUUCUGCUUAGAGGAAGAGUCUCCCAGCUCUGCCCAGGAUUUCCAAAAGAAACCCAAAGGAAAGAAUCUCCCAUUGCAGCCUCCUCGGGACUCUCCUUUCUCACGAUAAUCUUCACGUUUGUUUGGAGCAAGGUAUGAUGGAGCAAGCGGCCAAGCCUCAUGCUUCUGACUCCAUGAGAAUUCCUGCGUGUGGAUUAAUUCCCAUUGCAAAUUUUCAGGAGUCGAAUUCUCCUAACCUGAGAAGGGCCACUAAGAAAUGGGCUUCAACGAGGAGCCAGAAGAAAACCCGCCUUGCUGAACCAGGAAGUCUGGAGGGCCUAUGAAAACACGGGUAUGGAGUUACCUAGGUAACCAACCACCAAUGAAAAGAGACAAUCAAUGACCAAUAGAAAAGGGCAGUACUGCCGGGCGGGGCAGGGGAGCCAAUGAGAGAUUUGCAGCCAAUUUCAAAUGGAGAGGAGAUACCCCACGGGCCUUCGUGUCUCCCUCUUGUGCACCUUUCUCCUUCACGAGAGGAACCCACUCCCAACUCUCUUUGGCAGUGCUCUAAACUUUCUCUUUGUUCUUUCUAAAUAAAAUUUCUCUGUUACCCUGAAA